rnacentral:rRNA from 1 species
UACAGAGGGUGCUAGCGUUGUUCGGAAUCAUUGGGCGUAAAGAGCGUGUAGGCGGCCAGGUAGGUCGGUUGUGAAAACUGGAGGCUCAACCUUCAGAGGUCGACCGAAACCAUCUGGCUAGAGUCCGGGAGAGGAGAGUGGAAUUCCUGGUGUAGCGGUGAAAUGCGCAGAUAUCAGGAAGAACACCCGUGGCGAAAGCGGCUCUCUGGAACGGUACUGACGCUGAGACGCGAAAGCGUGGGGAGCGAACAGG